ACUUACCCUUUUUCCCCUUCUCUUUCCCUUCUUCUUUCUUUUCCCCCUCCAUUCCUCUGGAGAUGGGCGCACAGCUGCGGGGAGCUCCUCGGGGGAACGGCGGUGAGCUCCCCCGGGCGAGCUCACGGGGGCAGCAGUUGGGCGAGGCUGCGACGGUGGAGUGGCGCGGCUGGGCGGGGCUACGGAAGCGCUGCGAGGUAGAGCGGAGGUGGCUCCGACCCUCAGGGGAGCGACGCGGUGGGGAGGUGCGGCGGCGGGCUCCCCGGGGCCGACCUCCGCCAGCGGCGGCGGCGUUAGCGGGCUCGCCGGGACUGAGCUCCUCGAGCGGCGAUGGCGGCAGCUGGGGCCGAGCUCCGCCCCAUGGAUCUAGUCAUGCCGAGGGCGCCCCCCCCCCCCCCCCCCGCGGUGCCGCUCGCCGUCGGGGAGGCGGCUCGACGGCUGUGCCUGAUGCGCGCUGCUGAUGUGGUGGUGGGAGCGGCGGUGGCGGCGUUGGCGUUGAGCUCGGAUCACGGGGUGCGGCCGUUGGAGUGCAGCUGUGCGAGUAGGACCUCCGAGCGGGGCCGCUAGAUCCGCUAGGCGGAGUGUUGGAUCUUACUCGCUGGAGAGGCAGCAUCCAGGGAGAGCCAUGUGAGUGGCUGUGCGCAGCGUUCCAUUGGGAGCGACGGCAUGGCUCUUCAACGGGGUGUGCUGAUGCCCGAGUGGAGAAGCAUGGGGACAUGGCAACGAGUGGUGGAGCGGAGCAGUGUGGUGAAUGGCUUGCGUCCGGGCAGUCUGGAGGAGAUCAUUUAUCUGAGUGCAGCGCAGGAAGAAUACAGACUUGCAAUAAGCUUGUUUAAUUACCUCUUGAUUCCGGUUGUCAGAAGUGAUCAUGACCCAUUACUUACUCAAGCUGGCUUGCUCCUGUUCUGAUUCAAAAUUGGUUGGAGCUUUUGAGCUCCAUCAGACAAUGAUGGGGAUACAGAGCUUUAUGCUACAAAGGUCUCACCUACCGGCGGCCCUUCUAAUGAUAUCCUUAUUUAUAUUUUUUGUGUAGUAUACCAGUUACAAAACAGUUUUUUGUUUUCCUUUUUUUGUCUCUGAUUUCUCUUGCAGACUUUCACAACAAAGUUAUCUAUACCCAAGUCCAUUUCAGUAGCUCAUUCACUAAACUCUCAUCAAAGAAAUCUUGUCAAAAGCAUUGGAUUCCAUCAUCUUCUUGAUUUAGGAUGCACCUCCACACCAAAAUCUCUGAUCAUGUGGCUUGCAAACCAUUUCAAUGUUGUUACCAGAACAUUUAUUUUCCCAAAUGGCUACAAGUUCACAUUAUGUUCUGAAAACAUUCAUCAAGUCUUUGGCAUUCCAUUAGGUGGAUCAUCAAUUCCAAACAUUUGUACUGAAGAUAUCAAACAAAUGAUAUUGGAAGAAAAAAAAUGUUCUUCUAAAUAUCCCAGCAGUAAUGAGUUAAAAGAUCUCAUUACUGCUGAUUUUGUGGGUGACAAAUUCAAAAAGAUUUUCACCCUUUUUGCUGUGUCAACCUUUUUGUGCCCAACUACCAGUGAUCUUGCUAGUCGUCAAUAUUUUCCAUAGGUUGCAAAUCCUGAAACUAUAAGCUCUUAUGAUUGGUGCACCACAGUCCUUGACAAGCUUGCCUAAUCUAUUGCUAAGUUUCAGCAGGCAACUAAUAGUUGUGGCAUAGCUUCGCUUGGAGGUUGCACAUCUGCAUUGAUGGUUGUCUACUUUGAGCUACUUGACAUAUCAGAAGUCUCUUUUCCUAAUUUCUUGCCACGCAUAAGUUUAUGGACAAAUGAUAACAUAUCCAUUGCCAUAAACGCUGAUAGAUUAAUUGAAGACAGUAAUCUUUUUGGCCGAGCAUCUAUGAAAGAUAUGAGUAACAUAGCAUUAACAAAAAAUCACAAUAAACGCAUAUUCAUCGACACAUUCUCUUAUCUGGAAGUCAUUUUAAAGUCAAUACUAUCAGGCCAAGUCUUUAGUAAUGUCAGGGAACAACUUCAGUCAUCAUAUCAUAUUUUGUGGAAUGAUCUAAUCUCUGCAACCAGGCCGGUAUUACUUUCUCAGAUCAUCAAAUCUGUGGCAAGUAUAAAGGAAAUAACAGACAAUACAGUAUUCACUUCCCCAAACUUGUUGCAAAAUGAUAGCACAGCUGACAAACAGUUGCUAGUGACAAACAUAUCACCUCCUUCCAAGUCAGGCAUUGUGACUUUGAGCAAAGUCUACAAAGAUCCUGAAAUUGGAGACACACCCUGCAGAAUUGCUGGUACAAAUAAAAUAAAAGAUGCCCCCCCCCCCCCCCCCCCCCCCCCCAAAAAAAAGACAGCAGCAUCUUUCCUGAGAUCCCUGUACUAAAUGUAAUUGACAUUCACCAAGAUGAAAAGGAAGUGUUUGAAAUGGUUGUUCAGAGCCUGGAAGCAAUGAAUAUAUCUGAUGGUUAUGAUAUUCAUAUUGAGGAACAAUUCUACAUGGAUGAGUUGUACAACUCUAUCUUCGGAAAUAUGGAUCAAUGCAAAUUAUUGCAUCGAGACCCAGUAAACAUCAACCAGUUGGCAUUGUCAUUUGCAAACCUCCCACCACCCAGCCACCAACUUGAUUCAAUGUCAAAAAAAGCAAAUAUCAAAGAAAAAAGUCUAAAUAUCAGCUUGCAACCAAGAGGUAGAGCUGACAACAUCACACCACAGACUUCUAUUGGUGUAGUACCUUUAAAGAAGAGACCUCUGCCUUCAUUUCUCAACCACACACCCAGCUUUGAAAUUCAUGACCAAUCCAUUGCUUAUGCUAAUGUAAAGGGGUCAUGCUCUCUGAAUGAACUUCUGCUCAAAAGAAUCAGUACUUUACAAGCUGCUGGAGAAAAGGAACUUGAGUUCGUUUCACCUCAUGAAAGAAAGAGCAAAUCUGAAAUGAGCACAUAUAUGUUCACUUGCAACACACAAAAUGUUGUACCAGAACAAACAGAAUUAGCAAGUGUCAGUACAGAAGAUUUCAAUGAAGGAAGGGAUGUUUAUUCUGACCAAGUUUUAUGUGAUUAGUCUGACCCGAAUAGUAAUGACCCAAAUUUUGUAAACUACCGGACUGGUCCUAAACAUCCAAGUGCAAGUACCACGGAAUUCAAAGGAGUCGACAAGAGUGCAGUGAAUAAUAAUGAUUAUGAUUUCUGGCAUGAGGACUUAGUAAGGCGAUUCGAUGAAUCUGUUGAAACUGCAAAAAGUUCUCAGCAGUCAGCACACACAUGAAACAAACCAAAUACCAUUGAGGCCAACCAUCUUCUACCAUAUUUUUUCAUCAACUGCUGUAGAAAGGGUUGUGCACCAGUACAUUGUAAGCAAUAUUCCAGCACCCCCACCAGCUAGAAGGUUUCUCUGACUUUAUGGACUUUCCUCCUCCACAUCCUUUUUUGCCUUUAUUCUGAUUAAUCGUUUCAUUAAUAGUUUUCAUUUUUCAGCCCUAAGAUUAUAAAGAUGGUAAAAAAAAUUGGGUCGAUCAUCGUACAUUUCGUCUUUCAAUGCAAGUUUAUGGACCCAUAUCACACCAUGUCAUGAAUAUUAUGGGUGUAGCUGUUAUGGAAGCUCAAUAUACAAAGCAUCUCCGUGGUUUGCUUUUACCUAGAUGAAUGGGUGAAAUUCAUAUUGCACUCUGAACUUUCUACGUUAUUACAGGAUCCUCAACUAAAAGCAAAUGAAAUAUCCAGUUGCCUUGCUGAAAAGGGAAUUGGUUUUCGUCUUCAUAACGCAGAUUUGGUUCUCAUUCCUCUGCGCAAAAACUCGUACUGGUAUCUUGUUGUAGCAAACUUCAGAGAUCACAGAAAGUUUUCAAGGCUGUACAUCCCAGAUCAACCAGAGUUCACAUAUAUAGUUUGCCAACAGCUUUUGGAAGUGUUUCAAACUACAACAACCAGAUCAUGCAAAGGCAAAGAAUCAUUGACUUAUUAUCUUUGCACACAUGAGGAAAAUGAGGUUGUACCACAUGAGGUAAAGAACAUAGCGCAACAACAUGGUAUAUUUUAAAAACAACACUGAAGGGAGAAGAAAAAGGCAUUGGUAAAAAUUGUAAUAAGGAUCAGCAGAAGAAAUACAGAUACUAGUUUCUAAAACCACACUAUGUAUUCUGAUAUAUUUCUUUCCAAUGUCACUAUACUGUAUUUGCCAGAGUUUUUGUUUACUGUGUGUUAGUGCAUAUAUUGACGUUUUUUGUUUUGAUCCUA